rnacentral:lncRNA from 1 species
UUCGGGCUUUGCCAAUAGUGGAGAUGAGCCGAGGUAGUUCUUCAGUUCUUCGAAUACUUGCUGACAUCCAGUGGUCCAACAGAAGUUCUUCGGCUGCUUGAGAGUCUGAAAGAAAGGUAGGCACCACUCGGUCGAUCUUGAGACGAAGCGAUUUAGAGCCGCUACUCCCCAGUAAGGCGCUGAACUUCCUUUAUUGACUUC